UUCCAUAAAAUAAACUGUUGUGCGUAUCGACAAAACAAUGGAAAACACAAGAGAAGAGGAUUAAGAGGUUUUGCUCAUAACUUGGCCUAAAAAAAAAUAUACCAUAACGUUGAUUGACCAGAACUGAACUAACAGAUGGAAAUCAAUAACAUACACAAAAAGAAGACAAUCGUCUUUUCUGUUAUUUUUCUACUUGUUUUGAUGGUAAUCUUAGUUUUCAUCUUCGGCAUUCCCCAUUCAAAGGAUGGAGAAACUGAGAAUGGAGGGAUUCAAGAUGGAGGGAUGCAAGAGAUUMUACCUCUAGACAUGGUCCGUUCUUCUGUUGAUGACAAAUAUGAUGGUUGCAGAGGUUUAAUGUUACGGGUGGUUGCAAACAUGUACCUCUACGAUGAGUUAAACACUAAUCCUCAAUUCAAUACAUCCUGGAACAUAGCAAAACCACACGCUAAACCGCAUGGAGACAGUUUGA